rnacentral:rRNA from 1 species
GAUUAGAAGCUUGCUUCUAUGACGUUAGCGGCGGACGGGUGAGUAACACGUGGGCAACCUGCCUGUAAGACUGGGAUAACUUCGGGAAACCGAAGCUAAUACCGGAUAGGAUCUUCUCCUUCAUGGGAGAUGAUUGAAAGAUGGUUUCGGCUAUCACUUACAGAUGGGCCCGCGGUGCAUUAGCUAGUUGGUGAGGUAACGGCUCACCAAGGCAACGAUGCAUAGCCGACCUGAGAGGGUGAUCGGCCACACUGGGACUGAGACACGGCCCAGACUCCUACGGGAGGCAGCAGUAGGGAAUCUUCCGCAAUGGACGAAAGUCUGACGGAGCAACGCCGCGUGAGUGAUGAAGGCUUUCGGGUCGUAAAACUCUGUUGUUAGGGAAGAACAAGUACGAGAGUAACUGCUCGUACCUUGACGGUACCUAACCAGAAAGCCACGGCUAACUACGUGCCAGCAGCCGCGGUAAUACGUAGGUGGCAAGCGUUAUCCGGAAUUAUUGGGCGUAAAGCGCGCGCAGGCGGUUUCUUAAGUCUGAUGUGAAAGCCCACGGCUCAACCGUGGAGGGUCAUUGGAAACUGGGGAACUUGAGUGCAGAAGAGAAAAGCGGAAUUCCACGUGUAGCGGUGAAAUGCGUAGAGAUGUGGAGGAACACCAGUGGCGA